rnacentral:lncRNA from 1 species
CACUAGAGGAUACCAUAUAGGGGGUUAUUUUCGCAGGGUGUAAAUUUUCAUUCAUUUUCGUAGAUGGAACAAAAUUGCCCUAAUAAAUUCUGCCGACUGCACAUGCAAAGGUAUUGAUAAAAGUUUUGAAUCCGCCAAAGUAUGUCAUAUACCUAAUAAAUAUCACGAAAUUUUACACCCGGCAAAAUAACCCCCUAUACGGUACUAUAUGAAGGUUUGGAUAGGAUUUACAGAAUAGAAAAAUAUGAGUCAAAUAUAUAAAGUAAAGAAUAGAGAAAAAUGGAGAGAGAAUCAUACAAAACUGUACUUUACAUUCAAAUGUUAAAUAUGUCUUCUGUUAUUAACCUCUAAAUUAUGCUUUCACUUUACUACAAUUUUUCAAGCAGUUAAUAUGUGGAUUGGACCAGACAAAUUAAUUUAUUGACAAUAAGCAGACUGAACCACGGAAAUGUCAAUCUUGUCUUAUGCUUCUUUUGGCAGAUUUUCACUUAUUAAUUUUUCUUUUUAUGGGGAGGUACCUUGAAAUUUAUUAUAUUUUCUGUUCUUAGCACUCAAUCAUAACUGAGAGUUAACAUAUUUUGUCAAAACAAAACAAAAUAUUCAAUUAUUUAUUUUUUCAUUUUCAAAGGCAACAAUUAUUUCCCUUAGCAUGCUUAGAAUUUCAAUAUAAGUUUGGCUAAAAAACGAACUAGCACAUUCUUAUUAAAUCCAUAAUCAUGAUCAUCCUGACAUAUACAUUUACUACUGUGUAUUCAUUAUUAUUUGUUGGAUACCAAUUUUCAUGGAUUUCAUGGGUACGUGUGAACCACGAAUUUAAAUGUUCAAAGAAUAACAAAAUUUCUAUAAGGUUUUAUGCAGAUUUUUGCAAAACCACAAAAUAAAUAUCCACGAAAAGGCAUGUUUUCCUCAAUCUACGAAAGUUGGUACCUAUGAAAUUAAAUGAAUCUACAGUAACAUCUAUCAAUAAUUUUAUACAAAUUUUGCCCAAAGCUAAACACAGAAAAAUCCAUACUAUAUCACAAUAUGCAUAAUACAUCAGCUACAGAGAAAAACUGUCCAUAAUUCCUCUGGUAUAUAUCUAACAUCACACUAAAGCUGAAUCAUCACCGCCGUCUGGUCUGAAAACAA